GAGGCCUCCCCGUUCACCUCCCAGAGGCUGCCACUUUCUUCAGGGCUAGCAGAUGAAGGCAGCAAGGAAAACACCACCACAAGACCGACUUUAGGCUGGAGCUGAUGAUGCCACACGGAAAAUAGACUCAGAAAUGAAACUCAACUAAAGGUAAAAGAUGUCUGGAACAUCUCCAAGAAAGCCAGAGUCAGCCUCUAAACUUUGCAUCAAGAAUGGCAAUGGCUUCCCUGAGGGCCCAGGGACGCUUGGCAGCUGUGAGGGAUCCCCUUCUCUGCUAUCAAGGAACUGGACACUUCUCCUGUCCCUUCCCACAAGGGGCUUCCUGGAGCUCCUGCAACCCCAGGCAUUAGUUCCAGUGCAGUUCUAGGAUCAGAUCAAUUCACUCGACAACAAGAGAAACAAAUGGAGAUUCCUACACAAAGACUUUCAAGCACAAAGAAAUCCUGCUGCCUAUAAAGCAGAGCUGCCUCAGCUCUUGAUGAACGACAGAAAAUCUCAAAUUCCAGGAAUUCAGAUGAAGUGAAGUGCUCUCAUGGGGACCAGGCGUGGGUAUGCCAGUCCACUGCCCUGCAAGUCUCAAGGGAAACCAACUGCCCAUCAGCAAGUCACACCUGCCUUGGUGGAGGCAUUGAUUGGAAGGGCCACAGGCUACAUGUCCAGUCCUGAGUGGGAGAAUCGGUGUAGGGAUGUUCUGGGGAUGCUGGCUGUGGCUAGAUCAGGUCCAGCUACAGAAGAAUAAUGAAGACUUCACCUGAGGGCUGGAAAAACAAAACCUCAAGUGUGAGGCAGCCAACCUAUUACCUCGAGGGACUG
rnacentral:lncRNA from 1 species